GAAGGGAAUACAUUACUUUUCUUUUUUUUUCCCUGGAAGUCGACGUUUCCUUCCUCUCUAACCCUUACUUCUCUUCAUAUUUCACAGAGUAAAGAGGAUAUCUUGGUUCAUCUUAUAAUCAACUACUAAAAUAUUCAAGAAAGCGAGAAAGUCGGGGAAGCCCGACGGCGAAGACGCCUAUUUAUUAUCCCAAAAAGCGCAGGUCAUCGGAAUCACCGACGGCGUUGGCGGUUGGGCGAAGAAAGGUGUCGACGCUAGCAGUACGCACGCGAGCUGAUGCGUAACGCCGUCAACACCAUCAAGGACUCCCUCCCCGCUGCCGUCAACCCGAAGUCGGUCCUCGCUAGCCUGCAUCAUCUCGCUUGUCGAGAUCCGCCUCCGCACCGUCAACAUUGGCGACAACAGCUUCACGGUGAUUGUUGGUUUUGUAGGAAGAAAAUGAAUAUAUGAUUACUAUUUGGGUCAGAAUUCAAGUCGCACAAAUUAGGGACCUGAAGGAUAUGACAAGAUAUGACAUGAACUUGUUUUUGGAUUUUAUUAUUCCUAAAGUACCUAUACACUCCUGAGAAUGAAGUUGGUUAUGGACGCCAUGUUUGGCCCACUCAUGCCUCCAAAAGUUAUGUAACUUAUGUAUAUCUCUCAUUUCGCUUCCGGCCUAAAUAGAGUCAUUUUUUGUAUGGCUUCAGGGCUAAGAUAUUUUUACUGAUUAUUUAAAUAAAUUAUUACAUGAAAUUCA